GGAAGGAUCAUUAUCGUACAACAGAGGCAUUCGGGAGCUGUCGCUGACCUUGCUAGGUCGUGCACGCCCUCGAGUGUUCUCAUUUACAUAUCCAUCUCACCCUUUGUGCAUCACCGCGUGGGCCUUCUUUGAUUUUAAAAAGGAGGUUCUACGUUUUUAUUACACAAAUGUCGUGCUAGUGAAUGUCUUACAUCUGCGGUCAUACGCAAUAAAUACAACUUUCAACAACGGAUCUCUUGGCUCUCGCAUCGAUGAAGAACGCAGCGAAAUGCGAUACGUAAUGUGAAUUGCAGAAUUCAGUGAAUCAUCGAAUCUUUGAACGCACCUUGCACCCCUUGGCAUUCCGAGGGGUACACCCGUUUGAGUGUCGUGAAAUUCUCAACCUUCCCAAUUUUUGGGUCGGCUUGGACUUUGGAGGUUUUGUUGCUGGUCUUCUCUAGAAGCCAGCUCCUCUUAAACAAAUUAGUAGGGUUCUUUUCGCCGAUCCCUCGACGUGAUAAGAUUUCUUACGUCCGAGGCUUGGUUUCUAAGACCUGCUUCUAAUCAUAUCUUUGAACCCUUUGACCUCAAAUCGGGUGAGACUACCCGCUGAACUUAAGCAUAUCAAUAAGCGGAGGAAAAGAAACUAACAAGGAUUCCCCUAGUAACUGCGAGUGAAGCGGGAAAAGCUCAAAUUUAAAAUCUGACGGUCCUUGGCCGUCCGAGUUGUAAUUUAGAGAAGCGUCUUCCGCGCCAGACCGUGCAAAAGUCUUCUGGAAUGAAGUGUCAUAGAGGGUGAGAACCCCGUCUUUGGCAUGGAUUCUUGGUGCUUCUGUGAUGCGCUCUC
rnacentral:rRNA from 1 species